UGACUUGAAGAGUACAAAUUGGAGGAGUGUACAUGUUAGUAUAGCCAUCAUUGAAGAUUGUCUCAUACAGAUAAGUUGUUAAUUCCUCACGGAAAUAAAAAAAAAGAAUGUUCUGAUCGUGAAAUUUCAGCUGAGAACAGCACUCUAACAACCAAACACAGUAAAUCUUUUAAAACCAGUGAUACGCCUAGAAGCAUAGCGCAUGACACAGGAUUGAGGAUUGCGUGUUUAAUGAGACUUGCGGUGGGGAUCUUCUUGAGGAGACCAUACUCAAUCUUGUUUUCAAAAUUUUUAUUAAUUUUUGGAUUUAAUUAGUAUUUCUAACUGAUACAGUGAUCUUAGAGCUGGCAUUGAACCUUGAAUUUGUUUCUUUCUCUAGUUGAGUUUGGAAUUUUGGAUAUCUAAGGUUGGAAUAUUCUGGAAUGACAUGUAUCGAGUUUGAGAGAAGGGAUUUCUUCCAAAUUUUGAUUGUAUGUGUAUAUGCCUCUAUUAACUACAAACAUUUUGUGGAAUCUAUUUCUGAUUUUA